AAUGGGAGGAAAAGAAAAUAACAAUGAUUCCCCUAGUAACGGCGAGUGAACAGGGAAAAGCUCACAGUUGGAACCUAGCUGCCUUAGGUAGUUCGGAUUGUAAACUGAAAAAGUGUUAUCCAGGCUAGCCGAGUAAAUAAGUUUCUUGGAACAGAACAUCAUGGAGGGUGAGAAUCCCGUCUUUGGCUUGAGCAUAGUCUUUUGUGUUGCACUUUAACGAGUCAGGUUGUUUGGGAAUGCAGCCUAAAGUGGGAGGUAAAUCCCUCCUAAAGCUAAAUAUUGGCGAGAGACCGAUAGCAAACAAGUACCGUGAGGGAAAGAUGAAAAGAACUUUGAAAAGAGAGUUAAACAGUAUGUGAAAUUGCUAAAAGGGAAGCGUUUGAAGACAGACUAGCUUGGUUAUAAUCAGCCUGGAUUUUUCUUGGUGUACUUGUAGCCUAUGCUUGUCAACAGCAGUUUGGUUUGGCUGAAAAAACUGAUAGUAAGGUGGCUCUCUUCGGGGAGUGUUAUAGACUGUUAGAAAAUCAGUUGGACUGGACUGAGGAAUGCAAUGCAGCUUGCCUUGGGGUGAACCAGAUUGGAUAGGAACCAUUGUUCUUUGAAGGUUUGGGUAGCUCUUCGAACUGUAUUUAGGUUGUUGGCUUAAUCCGUCUUUAAACGGCCCGUCUUGA
rnacentral:rRNA from 1 species